rnacentral:lncRNA from 1 species
AAUUUGGAGAUAACAGGGGUUUGCUGGACUUGGGUUUUUCCCUCAUGGAGUGGAGGAGAUCUGAGAAAAAUCCAAUUUAGGACAAUGGGAGUUUUCUGGAGUUGGGAUUUUGGGGUUGUGAUUUCUGCUCAUGGAGGAGACCCAAAAAAAAUCCAAUUUGGAGAUAACAGGGGUUUCCUGGACUUGGGUUUUUCCCUCAUGGAGUGGAGGAGAUCUGAGAAAAAUCCAAUUUGGGACAGUGGGAGUUUUCUGGAGUUGGGUUUUUGGGGUUCAUGAUUUUCAUUCAUGCCAUGGAGGAGAUCUGAAAAAAAUUCACCUUGGGACAAUAGGGGUUUCCUGGAUUUGCUUUUUGGGGUUGUGAUUUUUGCUCAUGGAGGAGACCCAAAAAAAAUGCAGUUUGGAGAUAACAGGGGUUUGCUGGACUUGGGUUUUUCCCUCAUGGAGUGGAGGAGAUCUGAGAAAAAUCCAAUUUAGGACAAUGGGGGUUUUCUGGAGUUGGGAUUUUUGGGGUUGUGAUUUCUGCUCAUGGAGGAGAUCUGGAAAAAAAUCCAAUUUUGGGAUGGCAAGAGGUUUUCUAGAGUUGGGAUUUUUGCUCAUGACAUGGAAGAAGAGAUCCAAAAAUAAUCCAUUUUGGGAUGGCAGAGGUUUUCUGGACUUGUGUUUUUUCCCUCAUGGAGUGGAGGAAAUCUGAGAAAAAUCCANGGAUUGGGGGGGUCCCCACCCCAAAAAGAACUGGGACUGAAACUGGGGGGUCCCCAUCCCUAAAAGAGCUGGGAUUGGGGGGUCCCACCCCAAAAAGAGCUGAAACUGGGGGGUCCCCACCCUAAAAAGUGAUGGGAUUGGGGUCCCCACCCCUAAAUGAGCUAGGAUUGGGAUUUGGGGGUCCUCACCCCAAAAAGAGCUGGGACUGAAACUGGGGGGUCCCCACCCUAAAAGAGCUGGAAUUGGGGGGUCCCCACCCCAAAAAGAGCUGGGAUUGGGGGGUCCCCACCCCAAAAAGUGAUGGUCUGGGAUUUGGGGGGUCCCACCCCAAAAAGAGAUGGUCUGGGAUUGGG